rnacentral:tRNA from 2 species
GUCAAGAUGGCCGAGUUGGUCUAAGGCGCCAGUUUCAGGUAUUGUUCCGAAAGGGCGUGGGUUCAAAUCCCACUCUUGACA